AGCAGCCGCGGUAAUUCCAGCUCCAAUAGCGUAUAUUAAAGUUGUUGCAGUUAAAAGCUCGUAGUUGAAUUUCGGGAUUGACACAUCGGUCGUGCCUUAAGGGGUAUGAACUGGUGUAGUCAAUUUCUCACCUUCUGGAGAACCGCGAUGUCCUUAAUUGGGUGCCGCGAGGAACCAGGACCUUUACUUUGAAAAAAUUAGAGUGUUUAAAGCAGGCAUUUUUGCUUGAAUACAUUAGCAUGGAAUAAUAAAAUAGGACGGCAUGAUUCUAUUUUGUUGGUUUCUAGGAUCACCGUAAUGAUUAAUAGGGAUAGUUGGGGGCAUUAGUAUUCAAUUGUCAGAGGUGAAAUUCUUGGAUUUAUUGAAGACUAACUACUGCGAAAGCAUUUGCCAAGGAUGUUUUCAUUAAUCAAGAACGAAAGUUAGGGGAUCGAAGACGAUCAGAUACCGUCGUAGUCUUAACCAUAAACUAUGCCGACUAGGAAUCAGACGAUGUUAAUCUUUUAAUGACUCGUUUGGC
rnacentral:rRNA from 1 species